GUCCACGAACUUCAUGGACUUGGCCCUCUGACCCCUCAGCUUACCGGACACAACGACCUCACAACCUUUGGCGCCGCUCUCCAUGAUGAACCUCAGAACGCCAUAGCAUGCCCUGUGGGAGGGGAGGAGCCACAACACGGCCUCAUUGUCUCAACCCUUCUCAGACAAAUGCCUCAGCGUCUUCAGCUGAACGGACUCGCCGUGUUCUGACGACUCAGAACAGAACCACAGAACGUGGACCUGAACCAGCCACCAGAACCAGACAGAGACCUGAUCCGACUCGUCAUCGUCUCAUCACUGAAGGGACUUCCUGAGCUUCUUUAGAGUAAACUGCAGGAGGUUAUGUUUAAACCCCGCCCACAGAUGACACCGUCUUAGCAGAUUAGAUGUUAUCUUUACACCUGGGACCACAUCACGACCAAGGGAAAGCAAGUCUCCUGAUCCAGGAUCCAGCUGGAGCAGUCACAGGAGGUGAGGUCAAUGAAUGGACCAACUGGAAGCGUUCAUCAGAUGGAGAACGGUCCAGUAUGGAAGAAAAAAAGAGGCGGCGGCCUCUGUGUGCUCCUGAAGGUGGUGUCCAUAUUUACUGAGGGAGUUUACCGAUGUUAUGGCGGUCACUGUUUACAAUCCUCUGGAACCGCAGCGUGACAUCAUCAAAAUAAGAGCGCUCAGAGCUUUCACCACCUUCUAACAUCAUCUGCCUCAGAGACCUGCUGAACCAUCAUGAUGCAGAUCCAGCCUCAGGUCACAGAAACACAGGAGGUCAGGCUUUAAGCCACAUGUUAGGAACAAUGACGUUCCAGCAUCUGUGGUUCUUAGAGGAGCGAGCAGAACUCAAGAUACAAAAGGAGCUCAAACUCCAGGAGAACAUCUUCAACCUCACAACUGAACUCCAGACAUCCAGCCAGGUGAGGAGGAACUGAUACCUGACAGGACCUUCUCAAGCAGAGUCCCAGUGCUGUGGACCAGAGUUUUUCAACCAGUGUGCUGCGGGAAAUUGUUCUAUAAACCCUCGUCAGGAUAUCAGCUCUGUGUUCAUCAAAAAAAAGACCCUGAUGAAACACAUCGAGCACUUAGGAUGAGACAAAUCAUAAAAUACUAUUUCUGUUUAUUUGAUUCUAUUUAAGACAUUUUGAUAAGAAUAACGGUACUGCAAUCUGACUGUUUUUGAAAAGUCGCACCCCUUAAAUUCUCUCCACCAAUCAUCCUUGGAGAUUUGAGCAAAACGUCAGUCUGACCAAUCAGACGAGGUCAACAUCCUCACUUCCUGAUGCCGACAAAGUUUCUCAGUUGAAACAAAAACAGAAGCUGAAGAUCGUGUUUGGCACGGUUGCUUCCUACAGGAUCUGUUGUCAGACCGUAAAAAAGUCCAUAAAAAUAAUAAAGACACGAUUCAGUUCAGCACCACUGAUACCACUACAACUCCCAUAAUGCACCGGGUUAAAUGACAGAUCUUACUGCGCAACCUCCAUGAAUACUAAUGGUUUCAAGGAAGAGUUUAAUUUAUUCCAACUGUAGUUCAUCUUACCAGAAAUUAUUUUAUUCUUUUUUGAAUACUUCAGGAAUGUCUUUAUUUUAUAAUCAGUUCUCAGUGUCUGGUGGUCACAGCUCACCUCCUCACAGCCAGACCUCCCAGCAGCUUGUAGCGCAGAGACUCGGCCUGAGCGAUGGCACACAGACCACGGGUGGCCACUUUCUCGGCAUAGAGCUAAAGGAACACAAAAGACGUUACUGCACCUUCAGGUUCAGACAGAACCGACUUCAAUGAUGGUCCAUCCACCCUUCUCAGACAAAUGCCUCUUUGUCUUCCUGUUUGAAGGACUUCCUGAUCUGAGGAGCUGCAGCAGACCCACAGAACGCGGAUCUGAAGCAGAACCCACAGACCCAGAUAAAGUCCUGCUCUGUCUCGUCAUCGUAUCAUCACUGAAGGGGAUUCACUGAAGCUGAAUUCACACCGGACAAGAUUCACACAUCAAAUUUACUGCUUAGCGUAGAUCCUAAAAUGUCCAGACGAAUGUGGGAGGAGCUACCGCCAACGUUUUUCUGGACUUCAUUUGUUGCCGCAUCAUGGAAAACAUGGAUGAUGUUGAGCGAGUAGCUUGGGUUUAUGUUUCGGACAGCUCUAAAGAGACACUGACAACCACGUCACUGUGUCCGGGU